CUCGAAUUAAUACCGCAUACGACCUACGGGAGAAAGGCGCGGCAACUUGUUGCUCUCGCUAUUAGAUGAGCCUAAGUCGGAUUAGCUAGAUGGUGGGGUAAAGGCCUACUAUGGCGACGAUCUGUAGCUGGUCUGAGAGGAUGAUCAGCCACACCGGGACUGAGACACGGCCCGGACUCCUACGGGAGGCAGCAGUGGGGAAUAUUGGACAAUGGGGGAAACCCUGAUCCAGCCAUGCCGCGUGUGUGAAGAAGGUCUUCGGAUUGUAAAGCACUUUAAGUUGGGAGGAAGGGCAUUAACCUAAUACGUUAGUGUUUUGACGUUACCGACAGAAUAAGCACCGGCUAACUCUGUGCCAGCAGCCGCGGUAAUACAGAGGGUGCAAGCGUUAAUCGGAAUUACUGGGCGUAAAGCGCGCGUAGGUGGUUUGUUAAGUUGAAUGUGAAAUCCCCGGGCUCAACCUGGGAACUGCAUCCAAAACUGGCAAGCUAGAGUAUGGUAGAGGGUAGUGGAAUUUCCUGUGUAGCGGUGAAAUGCGUAGAUAUAGGAAGGNAGCACCNAGUGGNCGAAGGCGACUACCUGGACUGAUACUGACACUGAGGUGCGAAAGCGUGGGUAGCAAACAGGAUUUAGAUACCCUGGUAGUCCACGCCGUAAACGAUGUCAACUNAGCCNGUUGGGUCCCUUGAGGACUUNAGUGGCGCAGCUAACGCAAUAAGUUNGACCGCCNUGGGGAGUACGGCCGCAAGGUUAAAACUCAAAUGAAUUNGACGGGGGCCCNGCNACAAGCGGUNGGAGCAUGNUGGUUUAAUUNCGAUGCAACGCGAAGAACCUUNACCUNACCCUUGNACAUCCAGAGGNACUUUNNCCAGANGAUNGGAUUGGNUGCCNUUNCGGGNAACUCUGAGACAGGUGCUGCAUGGCUGUCGUCAGCUCGUUGUUGUGAAAUGUUGGGUUAAGUCCCGUAACGAGCGCAACCCCUAUCCUUAUUUGCCAGCGAGUAAUGUCGGGAACUCUAAGGAGACUGCCGGUGACAAACCGGAGGAAGGUGGGGACGACGUCAAGUCAUCAUGGCCCUUACGGGUAGGGCUACACACGUGCUACAAUGGCAAGUACAAAGGGUUGCAAUACUGCGAAGUGGAGCCAAUCCCAUAAAGCUUGCCUCAGUCCCGGGAUUGGAGUCUGCAACUCGACUCCAUGAAGUCGGAAAUCGCUAGUUAAUUCUGUUGGAUUCAG
rnacentral:rRNA from 1 species